rnacentral:rRNA from 1 species
UGCAGUCGAGCGGUAACAGGGGGUGCUUGCACCCCGCUGACGAGCGGCGGACGGGUGAGUAAUGCAUAGGAAACUGCCCAGUAGUGGGGGAUAGCCCGGGGAAACCCGGAUUAAUACCGCGUACGCCCUACGGGGGAAAGCAGGGGAUCUUCGGACCUUGCGCUAUUGGAUGUGCCUAUGUCGGAUUAGCUAGUUGGUGGGGUAAAGGCCUACCAAGGCGACGAUCCGUAGCUGGUCUGAGAGGAUGAUCAGCCACAUCGGGACUGAGACACGGCCCGAACUCCUACGGGAGGCAGCAGUGGGGAAUAUUGGACAAUGGGGGCAACCCUGAUCCAGCCAUGCCGCGUGUGUGAAGAAGGCUUUCGGGUUGUAAA